rnacentral:rRNA from 1 species
AUUGAACGCUGGCGGAAUGCUUUACACAUGCAAGUCGAACGGUAACAGGUCUUCGGAUGCUGACGAGUGGCGAACGGGUGAGUAAUAUAUCGGAACGUGCCCAGUCGUGGGGGAUAACGUAGCGAAAGUUACGCUAAUACCGCAUACGAUCUACGGAUGAAAGCGGGGGAUCGCAAGACCUCGCGCGAUUGGAGCGGCCGAUAUCAGAUUAGGUAGUUGGUGGGGUAAAGGCUCACCAAGCCAACGAUCUGUAGCUGGUCUGAGAGGACGACCAGCCACACUGGAACUGAGACACGGUCCAGACUCCUACGGGAGGCAGCAGUGGGGAAUUUUGGACAAUGGACGCAAGUCUGAUCCAGCCAUUCCGCGUGCAGGAUGAAGGCCCUCGGGUUGUAAACUGCUUUUGUACGGAACGAAAAGGCUCUUCCUAAUACGAGGGGCUCAUGACGGUACCGUAAGAAUAAGCACCGGCUAACUACGUG